rnacentral:tRNA from 1 species
GCCCCCUUAGCUCAGUUGGAUAGAGCGCGAGUUUCCUAAACUUGAGGUCGCAGGUUCGAGUCCUGCAGGGGGUA